CAAAAAAACUGGAGGAGUCUGUAAUUACAGUCUGAGAGUGCGGUGUUACCGCUUACUCCUAUCACCUGAUUUGGUUAAUGCCAACGUAGGGAAUGUUUUUAUGAACGUUG
rnacentral:ncRNA from 2 species